rnacentral:ncRNA from 1 species
AUAUCUGUUCAGGGAGAGGUGAAAUUCCUCACUGGCGGUAAGGGGCGCAAGCCCUAAGUCCGCGACCCGCGCAAGCGGCUGAUCUGGUGAGAAUCCAGGACCAACGGUUACAGUCCGGAUGGAAGAACGGAAAC